GAUGAACGCUGGCGGCGUGCCUAAUACAUGCAAGUCGAGCGAACAGACGAGGAGCUUGCUCCUCCGACGUUAGCGGCGGACGGGUGAGUAACACGUGGAUAACCUACCUAUAAGACUGGGAUAACUUCGGGAAACCGGAGCUAAUACCGGAUAAUAUAUCGAACCGCAUGGUUCGAUAGUGAAAGACGGCUUUGCUGUCACUUAUAGAUGGAUCCGCGCCGCAUUAGCUAGUUGGUAAGGUAACGGCUUACCAAGGCAACGAUGCGUAGCCGACCUGAGAGGGUGAUCGGCCACACUGGAACUGAGACACGGUCCAGACUCCUACGGGAGGCAGCAGUAGGGAAUCUUCCGCAAUGGGCGAAAGCCUGACGGAGCAACGCCGCGUGAGUGAUGAAGGUCUUCGGAUCGUAAAACUCUGUUAUUAGGGAAGAACAAAUGUGUAAGUAACUAUGCACGUCUUGACGGUACCUAAUCAGAAAGCCACGGCUAACUACGUG
rnacentral:rRNA from 1 species